CCGCGUUGUAAUUUGUAGAGGAGCUUCGGGCGCGGCACCGUCUAAGUUCUCUGGAACGAGACGUCAUAGAGGGUGAGAAUCCCGUAUGUGACUGGCUGCCUGUGCCCAUGUGAAGCUCCUUCGACGAGUCGAGUUGUUUGGGAAUGCAGCUCAAAAUGGGAGGUGUACUCCUUCUAAAGCUAAAUAUUGCCAGAGACCGAUAGCGCACAAGUAGAGUGAUCGAAAGAUGAAAAGCACUUUGGAAAGAGAGUUAAACAGUACGUGAAAUUGUUGAAAGGGAAGCGCUUGCAAUCAGACUUGCGCGGCGUCGAUCAGCCUGGGUUCUCCCUGGUGCACUCGGCGCCGCUCAGGCCAGCAUCAGUUUGGGCGGUGGGAUAA
rnacentral:rRNA from 1 species